rnacentral:rRNA from 1 species
GACGAACGCUGGCGGCGUGCCUAAUACAUGCAAGUAGAACGCUGAAGAGAGGAGCUUGCUCUUCUUGGAUGAGUUGCGAACGGGUGAGUAACGCGUAGGUAACCUGCCUGGUAGCGGGGGAUAACUAUUGGAAACGAUAGCUAAUACCGCAUAAAAUUGAUUAUUGCAUGAUAAUUAAUUGAAAGAUGCAACUGCAUCACUACCAGAUGGACCUGCGUUGUAUUCGCUAGUUGGUGAGGUAACGGCUCACCAAGGCGACGAUACAUAGCCGACCUGAGAGGGGGAUCGGCCACACUGGGACUGAGACACGGCCCAGACUCCUACGGGAGGCAGCAGUAGGGAAUCUUCGGCAAGGGGGGGAACCCUGACCGAGCAACGCCGCGUGAGUGAAGAAGGUUUUCGGAGCGUAAAGCUCUGUUGUAAGAGAAGAACGGGUGUGAGAGUGGAAAGUUCACACUGUGACGGUAUCUUACCAGAAAGGGACGGCUAACUACGUG